GUCGAACGAGGCUCUUAUUUCGGUAAGAGCUUAGUGGCAAACGGGUGAGUAACGCGUAGGCAACCUGCCUCCAAGAUGGGGACAACACUCCGAAAGGGGUGCUAAUACCGAAUGUUGUAAUGCUGCUGCAUGGCAGUAUUACCAAAGGUGGCUUUUAGCUAUCGCUUGGAGAUGGGCCUGCGUCUGAUUAGCUGGUUGGUGACGGUAACGGCGCACCAAGGCGACGAUCAGUAGCCGGUCUGAGAGGAUGAACGGCCACAUUGGGACUGAGACACGGCCCAGACUCCUACGGGAGGCAGCAGUGGGGAAUCUUCCGCAAUGGGCGAAAGCCUGACGGAGCAACGCCGCGUGAACGAGGAAGGUCUUCGGAUCGUAAAGUUCUGUUGCAGGGGACGAACGGCACUAUAGCCAAUAAGUAUAGUGAAUGACGGUACCCUGUUAGAAAGCCACGGCUAACUACGUGCCAGCAGCC
rnacentral:rRNA from 1 species